UCUUUGACUUGCUUACCUUGCAGGCUAUUGAGUGGACCAAAUAAGAUUAAGUACACAAAACCACUUGUCAACUCUCAAGUGCCAUACAAACAAAGUUAUUCAAUACAGUUGAAUAAUGUUCAUUCAUUACUAAUUUUAGUUUCUAAUAUGACAUUGGAUUUAUUUAUUCUGCUUAUGUAGUGGGUACACAUUUCUCAGAAUUUAGAUAUGCAAAAAAAGAAAAUGUCAUUUUACUUUUCUACUAUUCAACCUAAACUCUACUUUAAGCCCAUUUUACCUAGUAUCAGAGAACUUAAUUUUUGUCAAACUGGUGCUUUCUGACAUUCCAGGAUUUCCCCUUCACCAUUCUCCCCAGAGCUAAUUCAAGUUCUGGGAAACCUGUAUCACAGCUAGGCUACUGGGAGUGAGGGCAGGAGAGAGACUUCUGGUUUUUGGCUCACAUUGCUCUUUGGUUUAGCCACUCACUGCUGAUGUCUGAGUUUUCAUCAGCCUCCAGCUGAUAGUGCACCCUGCUUUCCUUGCCCUAGGCCCACAGGCUGUCUCUCUGGCAUCCUUUCCUCUUUUGGAGUGAUGAGAUAUUUUGGGAUGCCCUUACAUACCACUCCUAAGACUACCAGAGAUUUGAGAAACUGAUCAUCUGUACUGAAAAACACCAUAUCACUCCAUAAUACUAUCCUCCUACUCCAUAAUACUGGCCCAAACUGGCUAAAUCUUGGUAUUUCUGAUUCAGCUUCUUGUCUACAGCCCAAGAAAUUCUUUAAGCAAGACUAAGAGAGGAAAAGAUUUCUACAGAAAGCUCAUUCAGCAUUUUUUCACAAGCCUUUUGGAUGGCUAAUUGGAGCUUUGGCUCUCAUACUCCAAUGCCCAAACUUCUGAACCUAAACUCUCUUCCAAAACCAAUAUCCUCUGUUAAGAUUUAUAAAACUCUAUUUAGAGUUUAUAUUUUGUUCCUCCUUUUCUCAGUGCAGUUUCUACGUCUGCUUCAGAUGCUGCCACAUCUGUUUGGCUGCUGAUGCUUUUGGAUGGGAUCUGCUCACCUUUUUUCUUCUGACUCAGCUUAGGCAAACUUGCAGCCUAUUUGUAGAAUGAA
rnacentral:lncRNA from 10 species